rnacentral:rRNA from 1 species
CGGCGGACGGCUGAGUAACACGUAGGAACGUACCCCAAACUGAGGGAUAAGCACCGGAAACGGUGUCUAAUACCGCAUGUGCUCUUCGGAGUAAAGCUACGGCGGUUUGGGAACGGCCUGCGCAUGAUUAGCUUGUUGGUGAGGUAAUGGCUCACCAAGGCGACGAUCAUUAGCUGGUCUGAGAGGAUGAUCAGCCAGACUGGGACUGAGAACGGCCCAG